CUUAACACAGCCAAGUCGAACGGAAAGGCCUGCAGCUUGCUGCGGGUACUCGAGUGGCGAACGGGUGAGUAACACGUGGGUGAUCUGCCUUGCACUUCGGGAUAAGCUUGGGAAACUGGGUCUAAUACCGGAUAGGACAGCUGUUUAGUGUCAGUUGUGGAAAGUUUUUUCGGUGCAAGAUGAGCUCGCGGCCUAUCAGCUUGUUGGUGGGGUAAUGGCCUACCAAGGCGUCGACGGGUAGCCGGCCUGAGAGGGUGUACGGCCACAUUGGGACUGAGAUACGGCCCAGACUCCUACGGGAGGCAGCAGUGGGGAAUAUUGCACAAUGGGCGGAAGCCUGAUGCAGCGACGCCGCGUGGGGGAUGAAGGCCUUCGGGUUGUAAACUCCUUUCGACAGGGACGAAGCGUAAGUGACGGUACCUGUAUAAGAAGCACCGGCUAACUACGUGCCAGCAGCCGCGGUAAUACGUAGGGUGCGAGCGUUGUCCGGAAUUACUGGGCGUAAAGAGCUCGUAGGUGGUUUGUCGCGUCGUCUGUGAAAUUCCGGGGCUUAACUCCGGGCGUGCAGGCGAUACGGGCUGACUUGAGUGCUGUAGGGGAGACUGGAAUUCCUGGUGUAGCGGUGAAAUGCGCAGAUAUCAGGAGGAACACCGAUGGCGAAGGCAGGUCUCUGGGCAGUAACUGACGCUGAGGAGCGAAAGCAUGGGUAGCGAACAGGAUUAGAUACCCUGGUAGUCCAUGCCGUAAACGGUGGGCGCUAGGUGUAGGGGGCUUCCACGUCUUCUGUGCCGUAGCUAACGCAUUAAGCGCCCCGCCUGGGGA
rnacentral:rRNA from 1 species